rnacentral:rRNA from 1 species
ACGGGAGGCAGCAGUGAGGAAUAUUGGUCAAUGGUCGGAAGACUGAACCAGCCAAGUCGCGUGAAGGAUGACGGCCCUAUGGGUUGUAAACUUCUUUUGCCGGGGGAUAAACCUGGCCACGUGUGGCCAGCUGAAGGUACCCGGUGAAUAAGCAUCGGCUAACUCCGUGCCAGCAGCCGCGGUAAUACGGAGGAUGCGAGCGUUAUCCGGAUUUAUUGGGUUUAAAGGGAGCGUAGGCGGGCCUUUAAGUCAGUGGUCAAAGCGUGUGGCUCAACCAUACCACGCCGUUGAUACUGGAGGCCUUGAGUGCACAUAAGGAUGGUGGAAUUCAUGGUGUAGCGGUGAAAUGCUUAGAUAUCAUGAAGAACUCCGAUUGCGAAGGCAGCUGUCCGGGGUGUAACUGACGCUAAUGCUCGAAAGUGCGGGUAUCAAACAGGAUUAGAUACCCUGGUA